UACGUAGGGUGCGAGCGUUGUCCGGAAUUAUUGGGCGUAAAGAGCUCGUAGGCGGUGUGUCACGUCGUUCGUGAAAACCUGCAGCUUAACUGUGGGCGUGCGGUCGAUACGGGCAUCACUGGAGUUCGGCAGGGGAGACUGGAAUUCCUGGUGUAGCGGUGAAAUGCGUAGAUAUCGAGAGGAACACCUGCGGCGAAGGCGGGUUGCUGGGCUGACACUGACGCUGAGGCGCGAAAGCUAGGGGAGCGAACGGG
rnacentral:rRNA from 1 species